CAGAUAGGGAAGGCAGCAGUGCCGCAGGUCCUGUGGCUCUGCAUCGCUGUCAGAGCUGUUACGGUGCAAGGGUCACAGGUGCUCUUGCGCUGGAGUCAUGGAACCUGCUGCUUGAAAGCCUCUGAAUCAAAGAGCUUACUGUCAGCCGUGGGAAUUUACAAGCUUUCCAACAAGUCUGAAGAAAUCCAGGAAACCACGAUGACAGAUCCACUUGAAAAGACCAUUUCAUGAGAAAGGAAGAGGUAGGAUAAGGGAAGAAGCCUUCCUAGACUUAUGCUGGCAGAACCAGAAAGUGCAAAAUGAAUGGUGAAAAAAGAAAGAAUUGUGGAAGACUUUGACUCUGAAGGGAAAACACGUUUCAAAACAGGUCAGCAGCCUCUGCGUAACCACCUUGCGUCUGCCUCCUUUGGGGCUGUGGAAGAACGGAGGACCAUUGGCACCCUGGGGCCGCUGCCGCCCCUUCCUGGGCCCUGGCACCCAUAGAGCUGC